GAUGAAGAACGUAGCGAAAUGCGAUAGGUAAUGUGAAUUGCAGAAUUCAGUGAAUCAUCGAAUCUUUGAACGCACAUUGCGCCCGCCAGUAUUCUGGCGGGCAUGCCUGUUCGAGCGUCAUUUCAACCAUCAAGCCCCAGGCUUGUGUUGGGGACCUGCGGCUGCCGCAGGCCCUGAAAACCAGUGGCGGGCUCGCUGUCACACCGGGCGUAGUAGAUUUUAUCUCGCUCAGGGCGUGCUGCGGGUUCCGGCCGUUAAAAAGCCUUUUUUACCCAAGGUUGACCUCGGAUCAGGUAGGAAGACCCGCUGAACUUAAGCAUAUCAAUAAGCGGAGGA
rnacentral:misc_RNA from 1 species